rnacentral:rRNA from 1 species
UACGUAGGUGGCGAGCGUUGUCCGGAUUUACUGGGCGUAAAGAGCGCGCAGGCGGCUGGUCAAGUCCGAUGUGAAAGCUCCCGGCUUAACUGGAAAUGCAUCGGAACUGAUCGCUGAAGGUGGGAGAGGGUAGCGAAUUCCCGGUGUAGUGGUGAAAUUCGUAGAUAUCGGGAGGAACACCAGUGGCGAAAGCGGCUACCUGCCCGAUUGCAUUC